AGGCACUACGGUGCUGAAGUAACAAAUGCCCUGCUUCCAGGAAAAGCCUCUAAGCAUCAGGUAACAUUAAAUCGUACCCCAAACCGACACAGGUGGUCAGGUAGAGAAUACCAAGGCGCUUGAGAGAACUCGGGUGAAGGAACUAGGCAAAAUGGUGCCGUAACUUCGGGAGAAGGCACGCUGGUGUGUAGGUGAAGUCCCUGCGGAUGGAGCUGAGACCAGUCGAAGAUACCAGCUGGCUGCAACUGUUUAUUAAAAACACAGCACUGUGCAAACACGAAAGUGGACGUAUACGGUGUGACGCCUGCCCGGUGCCGGAAGGUUAAUUGAUGGGGUUAUCCGUAAGGAGAAGCUCUUGAUCGAAGCCCCGGUAAACGGCGGCCGUAACUAUAACGGUCCUAAGGUAGCGAAAUUCCUUGUCGGGUAAGUUCCGACCUGCACGAAUGGCGUAAUGAUGGCCAGGCUGUCUCCACCCGAGACUCAGUGAAAUUGAACUCGCUGUGAAGAUGCAGUGUACCCGCGGCAAGACGGAAAGACCCCGUGAACCUUUACUAUAGCUUGACACUGAACAUUGAGCCUUGAUGUGUAGGAUAGGUGGGAGGCUUUGAAGCGUGGACGCCAGUCUGCGUGGAGCCAACCUUGAAAUACCACCCUUUAAUGUUUGAUGUUCUAACGUUGGCCCCUGACCGGGGUUGCGGACAGUGUCUGGUGGGUAGUUUGACUGGGGCGGUCUCCUCCCAAAGCGUAACGGAGGAGCACGAAGGUUAGCUAAUCCUGGUCGGACAUCAGGAGGUUAGUGCAAUGGCAUAAGCUAGCUUGACUGCGAGCGUGACGGCGCGAGCAGGUGCGAAAGCAGGUCAUAGUGAUCCGGUGGUUCUGAAUGGAAGGGCCAUCGCUCAACGGAUAAAAGGUACUCCGGGGAUAACAGGCUGAUACCGCCCAAGAGUUCAUAUCGACGGCGGUGUUUGGCACCUCGAUGUCGGCUCAUCACAUCCUGGGGCUGAAGUAGGUCCCAAGGGUAUGGCUGUUCGCCAUUUAAAGUGGUACGCGAGCUGGGUUUAGAACGUCGUGAGACAGUUCGGUCCCUAUCUGCCGUGGGCGCUGGAGAAUUGAGGGGGGCUGCUCCUAGUACGAGAGGACCGGAGUGGACGCAUCACUGGUGUUCGGGUUGUCAUGCCAAUGGCACUGCCCGGUAGCUAAAUGCGGAAGAGAUAAGUGCUGAAAGCAUCUAAGCACGAAACUUGCCCCGAGAUGAGUUCUCCCUGAGACUUUAAGUCUCCUGAAGGAACGUUAAAGACGAUGACGUUGAUAGGCCGGAUGUGUAAGCGCAGCGAUGCGUUGAGCUAACCGGUACUAAUGAACCGUGAGGCUUAACCUU
rnacentral:rRNA from 1 species